AGUGAACGCUGGCGGUAGGCCUAACACAUGCAAGUCGAACGGCAGCACAGUAAGAGCUUGCUCUUACGGGUGGCGAGUGGCGGACGGGUGAGGAAUACAUCGGAAUCUACUUUUUCGUGGGGGAUAACGUAGGGAAACUUACGCUAAUACCGCAUACGACCUACGGGUGAAAGUAGGGGAUCUUCGGACCUUGCGCGAUUGAAUGAGCCGAUGUCGGAUUAGCUAGUUGGCGGGGUAAAGGCCCACCAAGGCGACGAUCCGUAGCUGGUCUGAGAGGAUGAUCAGCCACACUGGAACUGAGACACGGUCCAGACUCCUACGGGAGGCAGCAGUGGGGAAUAUUGGACAAUGGGCGCAAGCCUGAUCCAGCCAUACCGCGUGGGUGAAGAAGGCCUUCGGGUUGUAAAGCCCUUUUGUUGGGGAAGAAAAGCAGCAGGUUAAUACCCCGCUGUUCUGACGGUACCCAAAGAAUAAGCACCGGCUAACUUCGUG
rnacentral:rRNA from 1 species